AUUGCUUCUCGGCCUUUUGGCCAAGAUCAAAUGUACUGUCUGUUUUUAUCAGUUUAAUAAUAUGUUACGUCCUCUAUCCAACAUCUGAAAUGGAUUUUGGGGGCAGAGCGUUGGAAUAGGAGCUUGCCGCAUCCACUGCACACAUCGAGCUGGUAUUGCAGUACCUCCAGGAGUAAGGCACCUCCU